AGCAGUAGCCGCGGGAAUACGAAGGGGGCUAGCGUUGUUCGGAAUUACUGGACGUAAAGGGCGCGUAGGCGGCCAUUCAAGUUAGAUGUGAAAGCCCUGGGCUCAACCUAGGAAUUGCAUUUGAUACUGUUUGGCUUGAGUUCGGGAGAGGUGAGUGGAAUUCCCAGUGUAGAGGUGAAAUUCGUAGAUAUUGGGAAGAACACCGGUGGCGAAGGCGGCGACCUGGUCUUUUACUGACGCUGAGGCGCGAAAGCGUGGGGAGCAAACAGGAUUAGAUACCCCCGUAGUCCCUGUCUCUUAUAC
rnacentral:rRNA from 1 species